ACUAAGUAGAAUUUAAUUAUAUUUUAUCAGGAAAGUCAAAGAUGCAGAAAAUGUAUUAAUUUUAGUCUUUGGUUUUAAGCAUCUUACACUUCCGCCCAAGCUGCUUUGCACCACAUGGACAUCGUCAUCUGCCACAUUUGUCAGGGACCACCAUCUUCUCAAAGACUUCCAGGCUUCUGAACCGCUUCCACUCUGAGGGCAGAACCAUGGGGUUGAGGCUGCAGGCUAUCCUACUCAAGGAUGCUGAUGAAGACAAUGUGUCACAGGACCUUGUUCUACAAAGGAUGAAAAUCAUCAAGACUACUACAUCAGACGAUCCUGACGACACUGAUAUCAUGGUAGAGGGCGGGAAAGUUCUGGCUGCUCUGGGCUUGCUCCAUGGUCGUUGGCUUGGCAUAUGCAGUUAAUCUUGCCUAUCCCAAGGAACUCAGGUACACGCUUGAAGUUUUCCAGAAACUCCUCCUCAAGCUGGAUUAUUUAAAACUGUCCCCAGGAGUGAACAGCCUCAAGAAUAAGCUACUGUACUAGCUUAAGAAAUGGGACCCUCACAGAAUGAAAUGGAACUAUUAAGUCACUGUCAAAACUGUCACAUGAUGACCCACUCACUGUGAAGGACCUACAAACUGUUACUGAAGGAGACAUUCUCUGAGUAAUAUUUGAUGACCGAGUUGAGGUGUUGGUUCUUCUAUCAGGAAUCCCGCCCACUGUGGAGGAGCUGCAACUUGUUGUAAAGGAGGCCCAUUGAAUUUCUGAGUUCAGUUUUCAGUAUUUUGAUUUGGAAAUUGGAGAUUACUUUACUCUUCAUAAAAGUGACCAAAGUAAACAUAAAGAGUUUUAUUUUGGCAUUUUGCACUUGUAAAAUAAACACUGAACAAAUGGAAACAUUUCAGAUAUAAAUGUUUAGAAAAGGUUGCAAAAA